rnacentral:rRNA from 1 species
GUUUAUAGCCAUACCAACCCAAACAUGCCCAAUCUCAUCUAAUUUUGGAAGCUAAGCAGGGUAAGGCCUGAUUAGUAUUUGGAUAUGAGAAAGAGGAAUGUCUGGUUAGAGAGCA